UCUAAUUCUCUAAUUUAAAAAUUACAAAUCUUUUCCUUAAAGGACCUUUUUACUUUGACUUUACUUGAAAGAAUUAAGUUCAAUACCAUAUUUGUAUCCCACGUCUGACACCAUGACUCAAGCUUACCAGGGACAGAUUCUGUACCAACCAGGGUGCUGUGGUGGUGCAGCGGUAGAGCACAAUCCACAUAAGGAGGACUUAGUCCUUGACACAGCCUUUGCAGGUUUGAUGCCCAACCUGAUGACCUUAGCUGCAGGUCUUCCUUUCUGUUAUUAACCCCUUUCCUGAAUAACUACGCUCAAAUAAAGGCUGCCUCAGCCAAAAACCCUUUGAAAAAAGAGAUCCUUUAUUAAUUUACUUCUUUAUUUAAA